GCCUGGGUAGCUCAGUGGUAGAGCAGCGCACUCGUAAUGCGCAGGUCAGGGGUUCAAGUCCCCUCCCAGGCU
rnacentral:tRNA from 1 species